rnacentral:rRNA from 1 species
UACGUAGGGAGCAAGCGUUGUCCGGAAUCAUUGGGCGUAAAGCGCGCGUAGGUGGUCCCGUAAGUCCGCUGUGAAAGUCAAAGGCUCAACCUUUGAAAGCCGGUGGAUACUGUGGGACUAGAGUACGGAAGAGGCGAGUGGAAUUCCUGGUGUAGCGGUGGAAUGCGCAGAUAUCAGGAGGAACACCAAUAGCGAAGGCAGCUCGCUGGGACGUUACUGACACUGAGGCGCGAAAGCGUGGGGAGCGAACAGG